ACUGCCCCAUACACACACAUUGCCCCACACACUGCCCCCCAUACACACACUCUGCCCCCCCAUACACAUACACUCUACACACAUACACUCUACACACAUACACUAUCCCCAUACACACACACUGUAUGGACUCAGCAGUCUGUGUGUGUGUGUGUGUGUGUGUAUGGACUCAGCAGUCUGUGUGUGUGUGUGUGUGUGUAUG